CAGGCAGUAGCUCAGUAGUAGAGCUCCCGCUUCGAUUGUGGGAAGACUUGGGUUGGAUUCCCGGCUGUUUAG
rnacentral:tRNA from 1 species